rnacentral:rRNA from 1 species
UACGGGGGGGGCAAGCGUUGUUCGGAAUUACUGGGCGUAAAGGGCCAGUAGGCGGCCAACUAAGUCCGACGUGAAAUCCCAAGGCUUAACCUGGGAACUGCGUCUGAUACUGGAUGGCUUGAAUUCGGGAGAGGGAUGCAGAAUUCCAGGUGUAGCGGUGAAAUGCGUAGAUAUCUGGAGGAAUACCGGUGGCGAAGGCGGCAUCCUGGACCGACAUUGACGCUGAGGAGCGAAAGCUAGGGGAGCAAACGGG